rnacentral:rRNA from 1 species
UACGUAGGGGGCAAGCGUUGUCCGGAAUCAUUGGGCGUAAAGGAGCGUGUAGGCGGCCUGGCAAGUCCGCUGUGAAAACUCGAGGCUUAACCUCGAGACGUCGGUGGAAACUGCCUGGCUAGAGUCCGGAAGAGGAGGAGGUGGAAAUUCCUGGUGUAGCGGUGAAAUGCGCAGAGUAUCGAGGAAGAACACCCGUGGCUAAGGCGGCGUCUCGUAGUACGGUACUGACGCUGAGACGCGAAAGCGUGGGGAGCGAACAGG